rnacentral:rRNA from 1 species
GGAGGGUGCAAGCGUUGUUCGGGAAUUACUGGGCGUAAAGCGCGGGCAGGUGGUCCUUUAAGUCCCUUGUGAAAUUCCGGAGCUCAACUCCGGGAUGUGCGUGGGAUACUGGGGGACUGGAGACUGGUAGAGGCGAGCGGAAUUCCUGGUGUAGCGGUGGAAUGCGUAGAUAUCAGGAAGAACACCGGUGGCGAAGGCGGCUCGCUGGGCCAGUUCUGACACUCAUCCGCGAAAGCGUGGGGAGCAAACAGGAUUAGAUACCCUGGUAGUCCACGCCGUAAACGAUGGGCACUAGAUGCCGGGUCUAUAGACGGAUUCGGUGUCGCAGCUAACGCAUUAAGUGCCCCGCCUGGGGAGUACGGCCGCAAAGGCUG